rnacentral:rRNA from 1 species
GACGAACGCUGGCGGCGUGCUUAACACAUGCAAGUCGAACGGAAAGGCCCUGCUUUUGUGGGGUGCUCGAGUGGCGAACGGGUGAGUAACACGUGAGUAACCUGCCCUUGACUUUGGGAUAACUUCAGGAAACUGGGGCUAAUACCGGAUAGGAGCUCCUGCUGCAUGGUGGGGGUUGGAAAGUUUCGGCGGUUGGGGAUGGACUCGCGGCUUAUCAGCUUGUUGGUGGGGUAGGGGCUUACCAAGGCUUUGACGGGUAGCGGGCCCGAGAGGGUGACCGGCCACAUUGGGACUGAGAUACGGCCCAGACUCCUACGGGAGGCAGCAGUGGGGAAUAUUGCACAAUGGGCGGAAGCCUGAUGAAGCAACGCCGCGUGCGGGAUGACGGCCUUCGGGUUGUAAACCGCUUUCGCCUGUGACGAAGCGUGAGUGACGGUAAUGUGUAAAGAAGCACCGGCUAACUACGUG